UAGGGAAUCUUCCACAAUGGACGCAAGUCUGAUGGAGCAACGCCGCGUGAGUGAAGAAGGUUUUCGGACCGUAAAGCUCUGUUGUUGGUGAAGAAGGAUAGAGGUAGUAACUGGCCUUUAUUUGACGGUAAUCAACCAGAAAGUCACGGCUAACUACGUGCCAGCAGCCGCGGUAAUACGUAGGUGGCAAGCGUUGUCCGGAUUUAUUGGGCGUAAAGCGAGCGCAGGCGGAAGAAUAAGUCUGAUGUGAAAGCCCUCGGCUUAACCGGGGAAUUGCAUCGGAAACUGUUUUUCUUGAGUGCAGAAGAGGAGAGUAGAACUCCAUGUGUAGCGGUGGAAUGCGUAGAUAUAUGGAAGAAUACCAGUGGCGAAGGCGGCUCUCUGGUCUGCAACUGACGCUGAGGCUCGAAAGCAUGGGUAGCGAACAGGAUUAGAUACCCUGGUAGUCCAUGCCGUAAACGAUGAGUGCUAAGUGUUGGGAGGCUUCCGCCUCUCAGUGCUGCAGCUAACGCAUUAAGCACUCCGCCUGGGGAGUACGACCGCAAGGUUGAAAC
rnacentral:rRNA from 1 species